UACGAGAGGUCCAAGCGUUGUCCGGAUUAACUGGGUGUAAAGGGUGUGUAGGAGGUCGUGUUAGUCCUGCUUUAAAUCUCUGGGCCCAACCCAGAGGCUGGGUGGGAUACGGCACGGCUGGAGGGUGCGAGAGGCGAGUGGAACUCAUGGUGUAGGGGUGAAAUCCGUUGAUAUCAUGGGGAACACCAAAAGCGAAGGCAGCUCGCUGGCGCAUACCUGACUCUGAAACACGAAAGCGUGGGGAUCAAAAAGG
rnacentral:rRNA from 1 species